rnacentral:tRNA from 1 species
GGAAAAAUGGCUGAAUGGUUAAAGCACUAGCUUGCUAAGCUAGCAACUUACGAGUUAUAUAGGUUCGAGUCCUAUUUUUUCCG